rnacentral:rRNA from 1 species
ACCCCUACGGGGGGCAGCAGUAAGGAAUAUUGGACAAUGGGCGAAAGCCCGAUCCAGCCAUCCCGCGUGGAGGAUGACUGCCCUACGGGUUGUAAACUCCUUUUAUAUGAGAAGAAACGCCUGGAUUUAUCCGGGCCUGACGGUAUCUUAUGAAUAAGCACCGGCUAACUCCGUGCCAGCAGCCGCGGUAA